rnacentral:rRNA from 1 species
AGUGAACGCUGGCGGUAGGCCUAACACAUGCAAGUCGAACGGCAGCACAGUAAGAGCUUGCUCUUACGGGUGGCGAGUGGCGGACGGGUGAGGAAUACAUCGGAAUCUACUUUUUCGUGGAGGAUAACGUAGGGAAACUUACGCUAAUACCGCAUACGACCUACGGGUGAAAGCAGGGGAUCUUCGGACCUUGCGCGAUUGAAUGAGCCGAUGUCGGAUUAGCUAGUUGGCGGGGUAAAGGCCCACCAAGGCGACGAUCCGUAGCUGGUCUGAGAGGAUGAUCAGCCACACUGGAACUGAGACACGGUCCAGACUCCUACGGGAGGCAGCAGUGGGGAAUAUUGGACAAAGGGCGCAAGCCUGAUCCAGCCAUACCGCGUGGGUGAAGAAGGCCUUCGGGUUGUAAAGCCCUUUUGUUGGGAAAGAAAAGCAGCAGGUUAAUACCCCGCUGUUCUGACGGUACCCAAAGAAUAAGCACCGGCUAACUUCGUG